rnacentral:rRNA from 1 species
UACAGAGGUCCCAAGCGUUGUUCGGAUUCACUGGGCGUAAAGGGUGCGUAGGCGGUCGGGUAAGUCUGAUGUGAAAUCUCACAGCUUAGCUGUGAAACUGCAUUGGAUACUAUCCGGCUAGAGGAAUGGAGGGGAGACUGGAAUACUUGGUGUAGCAGUGAAAUGCGUAGAUAUCAAGUGGAACACCAGUGGCGAAGGCGAGUCUCUGGACAUUUCCUGACGCUGAGGCACGAAAGCCAGGGGAGCAAACGGG